rnacentral:rRNA from 1 species
AUGGCGGACAAGCCGAGCCGGGCGCUGGUGCUCUACGCCGCCGGCCACGCGGCGCUGCUCGCCGGGGGCGGAGGGGGGAAGGGCCACCUCGACGCGUUCGCCUCCAUCGCCUCCUGCGGCUUCCUCUCCGUCCGCACCCCCGCCGUCAACGAGGAUGGAGGGGACAAGAACAGCGGCACGAUCCUUGAGCUGGGGCAGCUGCUCGACGUGUGCGAUGCCCUCUAUCCUGCCAAGGAUGGGGAAGUUGCCCGGGUGGAUCCGCAGGAGCUAGUAGUCCCCAAGCUAUCCGAGAGGUUCAUGGGGCUGAGAGCUGCUAUGGUCACCAAUUGCCCCGGUGUUAGCUCAUUCGCGGCGAAUCUUGGUUUCCACGUUUUCGGAACUGAAGAUUUCGCCGCGCAGUCCGGUUCAGGCAGCAGUUCUAAGGACACUAGAAUAAUCGACCGGGCGUUCACUCUGCUGGGAUUUGCAGAGGGGAACGUCCAGGACGCGUCCGAAUUCGAUCUGGUGUUUGUGCAUGCCGCAAUGGAGAGCACAGCCAGCAAGCUCAGGAAAUUGGGGAUGAAGACGGAUCUCAACCGGCUUGACAAACUGGUGGCUUCAGUCAUGGAAGCUGCGCCGGUCGGUUCAGCUGUCGCCGCCCGUAUUCAUGUGUCUGUGAUCUUGAGCUAUGGAUCUGCAACAGAAAAUAAGGAAGAGGCGUGCCUCAUCGUAAACUCUUCAACCGAAACUGAUUCCGACUUGAAGUUACUCCGUCCACGCCAGAGCUACACUAUGAAAGCAGGAAAGACGUUGGAUGAUGUCAGGAAUCAUCAUCCAAUGCUACUGGCACAGUGGCAACAAGGAGUAACACGUUCUGAUUUGGCCAAAGAGUUCUCUUUUGAGGAAUUUAUAAAGCGUGCUGGAAACUUUGCUAUGCUUGCCGAGCGCUUUCUACAUGAGGUUGCAUUUAAGCUCUGGAAAGCGCCAAAAUAUGGAGCAUAG